rnacentral:misc_RNA from 1 species
GGUACUGCUUACAGUAGGGGUGCUGCAUGGCAACGCCUACGGGGUAACCAUCAAAGACGAAAUCGAACGACGCCUCGAUCGCGAGGUUACGGUUGGUGCACUGCAGGUCACGUUGCGCAGGCUUGAAUCCAAGGGUUUCCUGAAAUCAAAAAAAGGCGAAUCAUCAGACAGCAGGCGCGGACGCCCCAAACUCUAUUUUGAGAUUACCGCGUACGGAAAGAAAGCGCUCGACUACUCCAAAGAAACCCGCGAUGAGCUUUGGAGUGCACUGCCUAAGCUGGUACUAAAACUGAACUAAAACAAUGAAACGAUCAGAGCCCCCGCGUUUUAUACUGCGUUUGCUGAAGUCCUUCUGCAAACCAGAAUAUCAUGCUGAUAUCGAAGGGGAUCUGCUUGAAAUAGACGAGGCACGGGCAGCU